GGAAAAUUCACGAAAGCACCAACAAAGGAGGCAGAUUUGGAUGUCUGCCGCAGAGAGAGAGCCAACAGCCAGCCAGCACUGGCCAGAGAGGCCUUCAACACCCCAGGCAGAUAAGGAACACUUGUUUGUCUCUCCUGUCCCUCUUCCUUGUCUCCACACAGAGAGUAGGAAUGCCCAGGAGCUGGAUAGGAUGCUGGGACUUCACUGGUGGAGCAAUGGUUGAGAAUCCGCCUGCUUAUGCAGGGGACAUGGGUUCGAGCCCCGGCCUGGGAAGAUCCCACAUGCCGCAGAGCAACUAAGCCUAUGCACCACAACUACUGAGCCUGUGCUCUAGAGCCCACAAGCCACAAGUACUGAAGCCCGCGAGCCACCACUAUGGAAGCCCACGCGUGUAGAGCCCGUGCUCUGCAACAAGAGAAGCCACUGCGAUGAGAAACCUGCGCACCACAAUGAAGAGUAGCCCCUGCUCGCUGCAACUAGAGAAAGCCCGCACGCAGCAACGAAGACCCAACGCAGGCAUAAAUAAAUAAAUAAAUAAAUUUAU